AGGGCACUACCAGGAGUGGAUCCUGCGGCUCAAUUUGACUCAACACGGGAAAGCUCACCUGGUCCGGACACUGGAAGGAUUGACAGAUUAAGAGCUCUUUCUUGAUUCAGUGGGUGGUGGUGCAUGGCCGUUCUUAGUUGGUGGAGCGAUUUGUCUGGUUAAUUCCGAUAACGAACGAGACUCUAGCCUACUAAAUAGAUCGUCGGCUUACAAACGCCGAUGAGACUUCUUAGAGGGACAGGCGGCGAUUCAGCCGCACGAAACAGAGCAAUAACAGGUCUGUGAUGCCCUUAGAUGUCCGGGGCCGCACGCGCGCUACACUGAAGUGAUCAGCGUGCAUUUUCAGCCCACUCUGCCAAGAGUGGGAAACCCAAUGAACCUUCUUCGUGAUUGGGAUAGGGGAUUGUAAUUAUUCCCCUUGAACGAGGAAUUCCCAGUAAGCGCGAGUCAUAAGCUCGCGUUGAUUACGUCCCUGCCCUUUGUACACACCGCCCGUCGCUACUACCGAUUGAAUGUUUU
rnacentral:rRNA from 1 species